AACAAACUCGCUGCAAAUUAAAAGUGAUUAAGAGCGGGAUCUGCCGGGUUUCGCACCCUUAUACUUUGUAAACAGGGUUUAGGUUUGGACUGCGCGGAUUUCAUGCUUAUCUAGUGAUUCAGCAAGCGACGAUUCAGCGCCUGUAGCAGUUUCGUGCUCUUGCAGCAGAGUUUCAGCACACCUGGUGGCAAACGGCCAGCAGGCCAGCGUGCAGAACAGACUUCGUCUGCCCUCGAAAGAAAACAAGCCUGCAAAAAUAAAUAAUCUCAUUGCAGCGCUCUUCGAGUAUCGAGUUCCAUGACCACAAUUCACCCUCUGUCCUCACCGUCCCGAGAGCUCCACGAGUCAAAAUUCUGCUCUCCUUUCUUUCCGAGAGACAGUCCGUCAACAUCCUCGGAUUGUCUGAAACUACAACAGACUAGUUUAGAGCCUGCACAGGGUUAGGCUGGAAAGAUCCAUUUAAAAUGGGCUCAGUCUCCAGACUCCCGAGGAUUGACGGUCAGGUCUCACGCCCCCUAAUGGCCGGACGGGGAAUUCCUGGAAGACAGCCAGGGGACUCCAAAUUCAGCAAAACAAAACUCUUAAGAGCUGUACAACCCGGUUCAAAAGAAAAACGACCCCCGCAUCCCCAGUGCUAAUGCCUUCAAGUAUGUGGUCCGGGUCACUGAAUGUGCUGCGUGUUUUUGUUCGUUCAAUGACUGAAACUGGAUCACAAGAUGGUGUUUUUAACGGUUUAUUAUCGUUAUGAAACGAAAAAGGAAAACUUACAUAAAAGUCACCCCCACAACGCUACCGUAAUGGUCUUGAACUACCAAACUUUUCUUUGGGUUUCGUUCUCCGCUUUUGAGUAUCUUCACUGAACUUGCCAGUUGAUUUAAUCGAAAAUAAAGCAUUUGCUCACUGUUGAACAUUACAGAAAGGCCAAGCACAAUGAAAAGGUGUUUGGCCAGAUCUUCUUUCGUUUCUGCACUGCUUAGCCCGUAGUUAACGCAUGGCGAUCGGGUGGAGGUCAGAUUGUAAAAUCGCAGUUCUGCAAUCUUCAGAUAAAGACCCGCAAUUCUGCGCGUAUCCUGUAUCCAUCACUCCCUCUCAUCUUCGCUGUGUAGCCGGUCCCAGGCUCUGUCAACUCUAGUGUCCCCAGCCAGGCGAAGCAUCAAGUACGCUAUUCUGCCUAGUCGUUUUGUCGUAGAGUUUGACUGAACUACAGUACUGAAAUAAAUUGUGUCCGUAAUUUGGUUUAAUUCCAUGGUCUUGUUAUAAGAUUUUGAUGAAAAUCCAAAUAAAGUUUUGUUUUAAAAAUGGUAAAUAAGGCAAUGCACGUCGUGGGGAAAACAUGUUUUUAAGCAUUAGAGAUGUGUUAUGAUAGAUUACGUGGGAAAAUAGAUUAUUUCGUUUGCAAAAUUUAUUCAGGCCUAAAAAAAGAUAUUUUCACAGAAAAUGUGGUUGUGGAGACGGGCAGAGAAAGAUUGCUGUGGAGUGAUGAAUAAGCAGUGAAAUAAAACUGAGAGGCUUUCAGACCAGCAGGGCUCUUAUUGGCCAGAAUCCGCUCGUAAUGUACUCAAUUGGACUAGUUUAUGGGCUAGAGAAGUGGUCAUCUCUGCGAGGUGGGUAGUACAAGUUGUGCAGAUGCAACAACGCGUCUUAUAACCUUUUCUAUUCAACAACUGAGAACAGCAGAUUAUAUAAAACGUUUGAGUGGUAGUUAAACCAGAUCUUUGUGCCGAAAUUAAAACUUUGUUGAUGUGAUGUGGUGGAUAUGUGGCUCAAAAUCAGACCCACAGUGUGGCUUUUCUUCAGCCUAGGAACACUGCUUGGCUCAGCUAAUGCCCACUGUAGAAAACCUCCCAAAGUUGACUUACUGGACUAUCAAAGAGCAGAACUCCAGUAUGUUCAAAACCUCUUAAUUAGUUCUUGCAAACUGCAAAACUGCAGACUGGCAACCUGUCGAAUUUUGUACAUUUCUAAAGAAAUUGCUCAAGGCUUCUAGUCCCUUGAAGAAAGUUUGUCCAUUUUCUUUUUGACAUCUAGAAGAAUGACAUUCCUGCCUACAUUCUCAGGUUGUCUGUUGGUCUCUUGCCUGCUCAGCAAGGCUCUCAACUGUGGGUGACAGGACCUUCUCCUGCCAUGCACAAGGACUGCAAAACAGUCUUCCCUGUGAGUUCAGGAAUUCUGAGUCCAUUUUCAAAUUGUUUUUUUCCCCCGAGAUUUUAUUUUACAACACGAUGGGCACUUUAGAAAAUAAAGUUCAUUGCUAAUGCUGUAAAAUCAGCCACCAAGAAGAGAAUGAAGCAGAUGCACUGCUUUUAAAAUGCUGAUCCUCUGUAUUUGCCUGCAAAACAUGCUUGACUGUAAGUUGCACUGUUGCACAGAUCUUUUUAAGCAAUAUCUUUAAAACCGUGAGAUCGAGCUGAAUUCGUCUUCUUUAUACAGACUUGACAAGCAACAUUACUGUGAAAGAGGUGCAUGCUUUCACACUGGAAAGAGCCUCUUGGUUUGCCCUAAUGUUUAUUGUGUGGCAACGAAGUGUGCGUCUGCCUUGGUGUGUCUCGGUACUCUGAUGUGCACACGACUGUUCUUCUGAGUUGCUGGCAGGCUGCCAGAGCUGCAGAUUAGCCGUCACGAUUUCGAAGACAUGUGGCGAUUGCCGUGGGAGGGUCAAACUUUAUUUUCCGAGAUGAAGGGGCAAGCGCUGCGAUUGGUGAUUUGUUUGUUCUUUUGCUCCGAAUCUCGGUUCGCUGUCUGUCGUGCAGUUAUGCAUUUGAGAAAUUGCACAAUAGCUGUUCAUAUCCAACAAAGAACAUGUAGUACCCUGUAACUUGAAACCUAGGGAAGUUGUUUUGCUUGCCCCAGGCGACGCCCCAUGCUCACAGUGUCUUUGCGAUCAAUGCAAUUUUUGCAAAACAUCAGCCAGAUGAGAUCAGUGAAACUCGGCAUCUGGUGUAAUGCGUUGGAUAACAUGCACUGCGUUCCUCUCUGCAAAUCAGAACAUGGUGUGAAUCCCCAGGUGUAUUGACUCAUGUGGCUCUUCAUUUCUCACUUACUGUUCCUAUACAACAAAAUGUCUACAACUACCUAGAUUGUUUUAAAAAGACCAUAAUUUGCAUCCAAGGCAUUUUGCAGGCAUUGUUUGGAAGCCAUAUAGUAAUGGAGCAUUUCGAGUCAAUUGCUGAAUGAAAACUAAGAACUCUCUAGUGAAAUCUCUCCUUUUCUGAAAUGCAUCGUAAUUUUGUGAACUGCUUGGCAGCUUAAGCAUUUCAUAUUACUGCAACCUGAAAACAUUUUUAUACUGAAACAUUGUUUUAGAGCCCGUUUAAGAAAUAGAGGAAAAAUCUCACAAAAAAAACACAGGAUAAGCUCAUUCCUAAUUAAAGAUCACGAGCCUUGAUCAUAGUAAAGAUAAGUAAGGCGUAACACAUUGUGCAUUCAAAUUGCAACAUUUAGCACUGCAUUAUAGAAAAGGAUAAAUAUGCAAAUCUGUAGAAUCUAAAUAACAAAAUUGACUGUUGCAUAGCUUGAUGCAGGCUUGUUGCUUCUGAUUUUGUCAUUGUUAGAUUAGCAACAGUUCUUAAGUAAAUGCAAUAAUAAUUCCUAAUCAGGUCGUGGGUGAACUCUGCUCCAAGAACAUAACAACAGUGUUAAUGUCAGAACAAAAAAAACAAGUUAUUUAAAGCUCUUGCACAUACAGCUAAUCAGGCACGUUGCUCAGAAAAACCAGUUUGUCCACUUGGGAUACAUUGUACAACUACAAUGACACAAUGACAUAGCAGCACAAAUAAGAUCUUGAACCUCUGGCCAAAACCCCAAUAUAUUUUGGGUGACGGCAGGGUCCUGAUCGCUUAUGGCAUUAGUUUCCAGUCAUGGUCCUGAGGGAAACACGAUCACUUCUUUUUCAUGCCAGCUGAGCCCCCAGUUCUUUAUCUAGACUAAAGGUAUCGCCCACUCUAGAGCGUAAGAACAGAAGAAAGGUGAUCAACCGGACGAAGCAAUUCCACCCAGCUUGUCCGGCUGCUAAUCCGCAAUUGAUCCGGCCCUUUCUGGACUCCACUCAUGGGAUCAGCUUCCACGAGCUGGCAGAGGGCAUGCUGCAGCCUGGCUCAUGCUGACUACCAUCAGAAGGCAGCUAUGAGGUGUGAAAGCUGUAGGAUUCCCAUACAGUUAAGACACUAGGAAAAGGAUUUCUGAUGAGCCCUGACUUCAGUUAUGGUACAGAUGUCCAUCUAAAGAAUGGAUAAGGACGGUUUCACAACCACAGCAGCACUGGGAUGGCUGUUGGCACUGCUGAAUCAACACUGGAGCUUGGUUCUGGAGCGCACCACUUUCUGUGUGCAGCUUGCCUGUUCUGUGCAACUGACUGCUGUCCCAAACAGGGUGGAUGCUUCUGCCAUAAGCUACAGGUUGUCACAACACUCACCAGAAAUAUGUAAGUUUUUCCCAUAAUGAUCAGUUUCCUGUGAGCCCUUAACC